UACAGAGGGGGCAAGCGUUGUUCGGAAUUACUGGGCGUAAAGGGCGCGUAGGCGGCCUGUUAAGUCGAGCGUGAAAUCCCCGGGCUCAACCCGGGAACUGCGUCCGAUACUGGCAGGCUUGAAUUCGGGAGAGGGAUGCGGAAUUCCAGGUGUAGCGGUGAAAUGCGUAGAUAUCUGGAGGAACACCGGUGGCGAAGGCGGCAUCCUGGACCGAGAUUGACGCUGAUGCGCGAAAGCCAGGGGAGCAAACGGG
rnacentral:rRNA from 1 species